CAAGUCAUCAUGGCCCUUACGUCCGGGGCUACACACGUGCUACAAUGGACGGUACAGCGGGCAGCUACAUAGCAAUAUGAUGCUAAUCUCUAAAAGCCGUUCACAGUUCGGAUUGAGGUCUGCAACUCGACCUCAUGAAGUUGGAUUCGCUAGUAAUCGCGUAUCAGCAAUGACGCGGUGAAUACGUUCCCGGGCCUUGUACACACCGCCCGUCAAGCCAUG
rnacentral:ncRNA from 1 species